GAUGAACGCUAGCGGCAGGCCUAACACAUGCAAGUCGAGGGAGAAGCCCUUCGGGGCAGAAACCGGCGCACGGGUGCGUAACGCGUAUGCAACCUACCUUUCACAGGGGGAUAGCCCGAAGAAAUUUGGAUUAAUACCCCAUAAUAUUAUUGGAUGGCAUCAUUUGAUAAUUAAAAUUACGAUGGUGAAAGAUGGGCAUGCGUCCUAUUAGCUAGUUGGAGUGGUAACGGCACCCCAAGGCUACGAUAGGUAGGGGUCCUGAGAGGGAGAUCCCCCACACUGGUACUGAGACAGGGACCAGACUCCUACGGGAGGCAGCAGUGAGGAAUAUUGGUCAAUGGUCGGAAGACUGAAACCAAGCCAUGCCGCGUGCCAGGAAGAAAUGCCCUUAAUGGGGU
rnacentral:rRNA from 1 species